rnacentral:misc_RNA from 1 species
GAUGAAGAACGUAGCAAAAUGCGAUAAGUAAUGUGAAUUGCAGAAUUCAGUGAAUCAUCGAAUCUUUGAACGCACAUUGCGCCCGCCAGUAUUCUGGCGGGCAUGCCUGUCCGAGCGUCAUUUCAACCCUCGAACCCCUCCGGGGGUCCGGCGUUGGGGAUCGGGAACCCCUAAGACGGGAUCCCGGCCCCGAAAUACAGUGGCGGUCUCGCCGCAGCCUCUCAUGCGCAGUAGUUUGCACAACUCGCACCGGGAGCGCGGCGCGUCCACGUCCGUAAAACACCCAACUUCUGAAAUGUUGACCUCGGAUCAGGUAGGAAUACCCGCUGAACUUAAGCAUAUCAAUAAGCGGAGGA